UAUUUGAAAUGAUGAGUGGCACGCUUGCUUCAAGAUAGGCACAGUCACGUGUUUGUCUUGAUGCCUGAAUAUGGUCUUGUGUUGACAUUCACAAGUGCUCAGGGGCCAUCUGAUCAAA